rnacentral:rRNA from 1 species
GAUGAACGCUGGCGGCGUGCUUAACACAUGCAAGUCGAACGGUGAACGAGGGAGCUUGCUCCCUCCGGAUCAGUGGCGAACGGGUGAGUAACACGUGAGCAAUCUGCCCUGGACUCUGGGAUAAGCGUUGGAAACGACGUCUAAUACCGGAUACGAGGCGUGGGGGCAUCCCCAACGCCUGGAAAGAACUUCGGUCCAGGAUGAGCUCGCGACCUAUCAGCUUGUUGGUGAGGUAACGGCUAACCAAGGCGACGACGGGUAGCCGGCCUGAGAGGGUGACCGGCCACACUGGGACUGAGACACGGCCCAGACUCCUACGGGAGGCAGCAGUGGGGAAUAUUGCACAAUGGGCGCAAGCCUGAUGCAGCAACGCCGCGUGAGGGACGACGGCCUUCGGGUUGUAAACCUCUUUUAGCAGGGAAGAAGCGAAAGUGACGGUACCUGCAGAAAAAGCACCGGCUAACUACGUGCCAGCAGCCGCAGUAACAC